rnacentral:rRNA from 1 species
GACGAACGCUGGCGGCGUGCUUAACACAUGCAAGUUGAACGGAAAGGCCCUGCUCUUGUGGCGUGCGCGAGUGGCGAACGGGGGAGUAACACGUGAGUAACCUCCCCCUGACUUUGGGAUACCUUCUUGGAACUCGGGUUCUUAUCCGACAGGAGCUCCUGCUGCAUGGUGGGGGUUGGAAAGAUACGGCGGUUGGGGACGGAGUGGAGGUCUAUCAGCUUGUUGGUGAGGUAGUGGAUUACCAAGGCUUUGACGGGUUGCCGGCCUGGGAGGGUGACCGGCCACAUUGGGACUGAGGUACGGGCAGGAGUCCAACGGGAGGCAGGAGUGGGGAAUAUUGCACGAAGGGCGGAAGGCUGAUGCAGGAACGCCGGGUGGGGAAUGACGGUCUGCAGGUUAUAAACCGCUUUCGCGUGUGACGAAGCGUGAGUGACGGUAAUGGGUAAGAAAGCGCCGGCUAACUACGUG